AACGAACGCUGGCGGCAUGCCUAACACAUGCAAGUCGAACGAUCCCUUCGGGGAUGGUGGCGCACGGGUGCGUAACGCGUGGGAACCUGCCGUUAGGCUCGGGAUAAUUCAGAUUCAUUUGAGCUAAUACCGGAAAAUUUACUCUGAUCAAAGAUAUAUCGUCUUUGGAUGGGCGGGCGUUGGUUUGGCCAGGCGGUGGGGUAAAAGCCUAUCAAGGCUAGGAUACAUAGCUGGUCAGAGAGGAAGGUCAGCCACACUGGGUCUGAGACGCGGCCGGGACUACUGCGGGAGGGAGGAAAGGGGAAUAUUGGAAUAUGGGGGAGGGGCUGAACCAGCUAUGCCGCGUGAGUGAUGAAGGCCUUAGAGUUAUGAAGCACUUUUACCCGGGAUGAUAAUGACGGUACCGGAAGAAUAAGCCCCGGCUAACUCCGUG
rnacentral:rRNA from 1 species